UGAGUGCGCGUGUUUGCGUACAUCUCCUCUCUUAUUUCGAAAACAAGGAUGGUAUUUUUUCAUUAGUUCUCCCUCAUCAAACCAAGCAGACAAUGCGAUAAUAGGAUUAACGGUAUAAUUCAAUUAUCUAUUUAGCUGUAUGAUUUCAUUUGUCUUUUGCGGAUCGAUAUACCACGGCUGAUAUGAUUCUUCCAUAUGAACGGAUAAAUUGUUCCGGAAAGUUACUCCCUAUUGGAGAAUGCAAAACAAUAAUACCAUUACACUUCUAAUUAUCUAAUCUAACGUAUAUAAGGUUCCAAAUCAAUUGGUUCCUUAGAAAAUAGGCUAUUGUUCUGCAAAAUAUGUAAGCUUGUUAUCAAACAAUGAAUCUAAAUAGGUUAUUGAAUUAUACAGCCAAUCUCCUAUUGUUUGCUUGGUUUGAUGACAAGAAAACAAAUGAAAAAAUACCUUCCUUAUUAUCAAAAUAAGGCAGGAGUUCUACGUACACACGCACACUCAAUGCAAGCCACUCGAUCUGAUGCCGAUAGACGCGCACCAGAGCACACGUACAUGGAGAGAGAUAAUGGAGAAAGGUUUAAACGAAGGUACUUGAGGAUAAAUAUGGGAGAACGUAUUACGGACAUCCACUAUCACGAAAUUCCUUUCGUAAUAUACUAAAUGGGUAAUUAGCGUUACGCACCAAAUUAUUUCAUCCAAAUAUCAAUAUUUAAGAAAAACUCUAAUUAAGUAUUACGAAUAUUUUUUAUGUAUAUGUCGUGAAUAUUUCGGCAAACAGUUUGAAAUAUAGAAUUCAAUACUUCUACCUUUUUAAUUAUAUCGAAUGGUUAUUUAAUUUAAAUCGAUGGAACAACAAUGACGUGACGUGGACUUUCUAUUUCACGUUUAAUUUAAAAGUAUUCCCCUGCUAAUGGUAUUACUUUGAAAAAAGAUGAAUCUUUUGAUCGUCCCUGUCUGUUCAAUUAUUUUAUAUGAUAAACGUCCCUCAGUUUCAUUUUAAUUCCCCUGUGAUCCUUGCCCCGCGUGGAACGUCGGACGGCUCAUCGACAAAUCUUUUUGAGCACAAUCGCUUAUACCCUCCAACUGAAGCAGCUCACGGUUAGAUGCUUUGAAGAAGGAAGGUCCCUCCCAUUUCCCCGUACGAGGGUUCCAAGUUUUAUAAAACAGCGCCAUAUUGGUCUUUCGAAACUUCGUCGUCAAGCACGGAUAUACUAAACCAACGGAAGACGAAAGCAGUUCCAAUAGCCUGGAUGUAUUGCAAAGGAGCCGAAUUGACUUAUAUUUGAAUUGUAAUUCCAAAGAAGAACAACGCUCCACCAGAUAAUAUAACAUUGCAUAUCCAAAGUGAAACACAUUUUCAUUGACACUUUCUGUUCUUCCGUACAUCCGACUAUACGUCCUAUAUGGAUAGUACAAAUCAAGCCAGACCAUCAACGAGAUUAAUAUAUGGAAACAUUUUCCUUUUUACAUUUAUGCUUAAAUGGAAAAUCAAUCAAUGCUGUGUUUAUUGAAUGGUAAGAUAUUUUAGACAUAAGAUAAAUUUUUCAUUCUAAAAUGUAAUGUGGACUAUACAAUCUAUAUCGUAUCUAUAUACCUUAUAAUAAUUUAUUGAAUAUCUUCGAAGAUUUUAUACAGUCGAAGAAAGUAUUUUUAUUUACAAGUGAAUUUAUCACAAAUAUUCGAAAUGGUAUUAAACCCAAAUUGGAGUAAUUAUCCGGUAAUUUCUAUAAUAUGGAAAUGUUAUUUUCUAAUAAAUCUUAUGCAAAUAGCUACUGCUAAAUUUUGAAGAAGAUUGAUGGAAUAAUGGAAUGACUAGAGAUAAUGGUGUUUAAACCGUCUUUGUUAUUUGUAAAGCUGUUCUUUCGGAAGUAUGGUAGCUAGGGAUUAUUUCGCGUAUGACACACACUUGCGUAUUA